ACGACAGCUCCCUUUUCUUCAUCUUCAUCUGAGUCCUCGUUGGGCCUCUUGACCGCCUUGGUGAGUACCGCGUUGCUCUCCACCGGGCCGUUCCCCUCCACGGCCAGCUCCGGGGCGCCGCCCGUAAUGAUCCUCACAGCCUCCUCCACAGCUGCGCAAACCACACAGAAAGGACUGCUGGGGGAGGCUGGCUGCACGCACUAUCAGGGACACUUGCUUUCAGAGCCUACGACUGGCAGAGCAAGGGAGGGCAGUAGUGAUGCUACAGAAUUAAAGGAAAAGACGCAAGCUGUUCUUACUACUCUCAGAAGCCAAGUCCCUAGGAGCCUUCACACGCAUAGAAAUGAUGGGCUUUUGUGGUGGUUACUCAGUGGCAUUAGAAUGUGAACAAGCCUCUCUGGACUAAGGAGGGUUUGAUUGCCCUGUGGCCUCACUGCACUCCUGCAAGAUAGCUGGAUCUGGAAACUUCAGUGGCAAAGAAUAACAGACCAUGUGAAUUUGGCCCUGAAGCAGAGCUUUCGUGACUUACUAUUUGGUAUCUUGCAUCUUCGGAAAAUUUCCAUCAGUUCAUCCACUUGCACAAAAGGACCCUAUUUUGAGACAAAUAAAAAUCCCUAAUAAUCUGACAAGUUAAAACCACACUACUUGACAUUUUCCAUGAGAUGAGAAAAAGCACAUAAUUACUGUAAGCCACAGAGCAAGUAUAUAACAGUGAACAAACCUGGAAACAGAUGGGAGGCGGGAGAAGUUUCAUUAAGACAACGGCCGCAGGUGGCACUGGGAACACGCCCCCGGGAACCGGGUGUAGGCCUGGCGCUGUGACACAAGGAGGGGAGGAAUCAGACAGGAUGGAAGACUCUCUACAGAGGUAAAAUAAGUCAGAAGUAAUUUAUGUCUAGAGUUCCAGAUCUGUUGCUUUCUUGACAUUUUAAAUUGCUCUUAGUGCUUUGCAUGUUUGACCAACUAAAGUGGAUGAGACAGAGCCAUCUCACCCCUGUGGCCACUGGGAAGCAGAAAGUAAACAAGGGACUUUGGGGAAGACAGCCAGGGGCUGAACUCCAGUCCGUUUCUGUCAGAGACCAUUUCUAAGCCGCCUAAAUCAUGUGUUCAGCAAUCCUGUUUUAAGGUCGGUUAUUCAACAGCAUGUUUAACCAUAAGGGCCUCGUUCAAAUAGGAUCUGGAGGGGCUACUACCCGUUAGUAAGUGUAAAUAAUACCAAACAGCAUCACCGAGGUACACUGCCAGUCGUACAGGUAAUUUGUAUGUAGCAGCAUUUCUGAAGACUGCCUAGCGUCACUGCCAAAGCGCGUUACUGGAAUCCGGAUCACUGAGGGUUUUUUCGUUUUUUUAAAGACAUUCUUAACUCAUCUUGCUUCAUAGAUUACAGCUAAGUCACUUGUAGUGACCCAGAGUCUAAUAAUUAACCUGCAAUGGAAAGGUCACAUCACUCCCCCCCCACCUCUGGAUUUAAAUCAACAAACAGAGGUCUCAGUACUGGAUCUAAAGUCAUGGCUUACGUGCUAAAUGUCGUGGCUGAAAUGGAAUCAUCUGCUGAGUGUCUGGUUUAGGGUAUUCUGGUUUUCUAUCCACUUCAUCUUUCAGAACAGGCACUAUAGAAGGAGCUACAACUGGGUCUGGAAUUAUAGCUGCUAGCUUAGCACGGGAGACAUCCUGAAAAUGCAGAACAGAAGAAUCCUAAACCUGAAAAAGGGGCUUGAAUAUAAUUGUGCAGUUCUACAAUCUUGAGGAUACACUGUGAAUAACUGGGUUAAAAUCACAGAAAGAGAACCAAGAGGGUAAGUAAGAACGUGACGGUACAGACCGUUAACCAUUCGACAAGGAAAGCUGCAAGGCUCUAGAGAUAUGGAAUCCCAAACCCUUACCCUCGCCCUGCUCAAGAAUGGUCAGACCCCGUGCUACCGGGUAGGUAGGACAGUUGUAGGACAGAGACCAGCUUUUUUGAGUAAAUAUCUAAGAUUGGGCACCUGAUAGACACUGGGGCCAUUUGAAAAACUUUACAAUUUUAGACAUUUUUUUCUGACACUUCCCUUCCACUAGAAGUGAACAAUAUCGGUUUAACUGAAGCCGAGUUAGGUGAAGUCCCUCUUCAUGAAAGCUAAACUAAUCACUUAUACUAGUUAAUAUGAUUCUGUUAACUAAAUUAUUCCCAACAUAUUGUUACAGGAAAUAGGGAUAUAGAGUGAGCAGCCACUGUUUGUCCAGACAUUUUUUAGCCAUUUAUUCCUUCUUCGAUGAGGCAAAUAGUAACCUCUCCAUUUUCUAGAAGGGACUGAAGCUCAGAGUUCUGAUAUUUCCAAGGUCACAGAACUAAAAGGCAGAGAGGACUGGGAGCACGGGCCUCUGACCACAAACCCAUUCACCAUCCUCUUUUUAGUUUAUCAGCAGUGCCCCACCAGGGCUGAGAACAGUUCUCCAGGACAGGUCGAAAGGGACAGUGUGGCCACCUAUCUAUCAACAGAUCCUAUCCCAGAGAAGUUCCUCUGCUACAGGCGCUGGUGUCAGUCUACCUGCCCAGAACCAAAAGAGUCCCUUAUGCCAUCAUUGCAUUUCACGUCCUCAAAAUUUGCUCGUAUGCAGUGGGUGGCAGAUCUAAAUGAGCAGGCCCAUGGAGAAUGGCCUUUUUUCUCUUCCCCUCUCACAUUAUAUACACACAGAAGUAUAUAUAAUUCUCUCUCAAAAAUAGAUGAAAUAUGAAUAUUUAAAAACAGUUCUACUUGGAAAUAGUAAGAGCUCUAUUAAUUUCCAUUUCAUCUUGGUGAGGUUGAAAUAGUCCUUGCUAGUAACUUCACUUAAAGGUCUUUUGCUUUUCAUUGAGAAGUAAACUACAAGCUGAACUUAAUGAACCCUGAGCAGUCACCCCUAGUUACAGACUGGGACUUCCAUUAAUGAAUAGGUCUGAAGCUCAAUUAUGGGAAUUUUCCUCAAACAUUUAAAUCUAGUUCACAUGCCAGACAAGGGAGACCCAGGCCAGAAGAGGCUGGUGAAGAGAAUGAUGGCCAAAGCAUCCUAAUGUUGAUUGGCUUCAAGGGACCAAUCUAGGAUUUUGUGGAUAUAGUUUCUCUUCAGAUUUUCAUUGUUUUCAUGACACAGGAAAACAAAACAAAAGAAUAAUUUACCCCUAGCCUGAACAGGUUCAGGGUUCAGAUUUCUUAAGACUCAGUUGUCUAUAUAAAGGAGUUCUGUUGCUAGAUAAGCUAAUUUCCUCAAGAGCCCCCGCAGUACUGCUUUAAGAUACAAACCUCUCCAGGAGCUACAUUUGGCUUAAGAUCUAUCAAAACACGUUUAAUAGUUUUAAGAACUUUUAGCAAAAACAAAAUACCUAAAAUGACAAUUUUUCUUCCUUCCACAAUACCUUCACAUGCCCACCAGAUAGAAGAUACAGGACACCAACGAUUUCAGGGAAAGGCUAAAAGUGUUAGUUAACUCUCACUCUAAUUCUCAUUUUGUUCAGUACUUUUGAUAUGCAAUGUUUCAUGAACUCAAAAAAUUCCUGAACUUUUCCGGUUUUCUGAAAAUCUAUUCUAAAACUAAUUUCUAUUUCAGAAUUUGCUUUAGAGGGAUGUGUAUCCUUGAACUAUUCUAAAACAUAAGAGGAGGAACGCUACACACAUCUUGAUCCUAAGUACAUACCUUAUAACCAAGCGCUUUUAGUUCACUUGCAGAGCAAGGAUAUAAGUCCAUGAACUUGUAUCUGUCCACCAGUAAAGCUGUUUCUUUGCCUUCAUACUCUUCUUUGAAUGCUGUAAACCGUCUUUUCUCCACUUUGAGUAUGCUAGCUAGAUCACCAAUAUUACUUUCGAAAGCUAGAAAUCGAGCCCAGAUUUCUCUGUAAUAAAUAUAAUCAGUACUUAAUUAUUCUCGGUUUGGAACAGGAAGUCCAUUUCCAAAAACCUCAAGUUCCCUCCUCCCUUUAUUUAAUUAUAAAAAGCUUUUUUUUUUUUUUUAAUAAAUGAAGAUUUCCAAAUUACAGGACAGUAUAACAAAUAUUUAGAGAUCAUCAUCAUCAUUACCUAGAUUUAAUCAUCGUCCAUGUAUUUUGCCAUAUUUGCCUCAUCUUGCUUUUGCUUAAGAUUUGAAAAAUUAUAGAUAUAAUCCUUCACCCUGCACACUUGUGUAUUUAAGCCAUUUUUGACAUUUUAUUUAGCACAUCUUCCUAUCAGAUUGUGGCAACAGACAUAUUUACCUUAAAGAGGGGUAAACUCUAAGUAGAAGAGCUGAAAAAGGAAUAUACAGACUUCCAGUUUGUCCUGAAUAAUGUGGCUUCCCCAUUUUGUCUAGUGGCAUGAGAUCACAAUUCAAGUAUUAAAGCUGCUAUCAGAACCCAGCCAACAAGUUUUCUCAACAGCUUACCCAGACUUCUCAGGAGGAAGGCUUCCAGAGGUUAAGACUCGUUCAAACAAAACUCGGGUAUUAUUGUCCUCUAGGAUAUUAAAAAGAUUUUAAGUAUUGAAAAAUUAGGUUUUACUAUCAACAGUGUAUUUACACAGGCAUCUCUAAUUCUGACAAAAAUCCUAUGCAAAAAGGUAACUAUUUCCCCAAUUUUUAUAGAGGAGUUAACCUAUAAAACAACUGGGGUUCAAAACAAUUGAGAUGAUCUGGCUCACUGUUAUUAAAAGCUGGAACUAGAAGCCAGGUCUUCUUACCUGUAGUUCAGCCUGCCUUCUGUGUACUGCAGUUAUAAUGUCAGACCAUUUCCAACAGUGUGAUAUCUGAGCAAGGCACCCCACUGGCCUUUAAAAAAUAAUAUAUCUGCUGACAUUGGGUCAGAUGAUCGAUAUAUUUUAAAUAUAUGGAAUGUGAUGGAUAGCAAGCUCAAAUUUAUAUAUAAGUGAUUUUCUUACUUUGCAGCACCAGAACGACUCUCUAAAUAACUACUUUAAAUUCUCAUAUAGGUACAAUUAAAGUUGAAAUCUUGGUAGGUCCUCUGUAGCUGGAAGUGGGAAAUAACACUUCUUCCUAAGGGAACUAUUAAAAUUUAGCAAUUACUAACAAUCACUGAACUGUAUAUUUAAAAUGGAUACAUUUAUGGUAUGUAAAUAUCUCAAUAAAGUUGUGUUAAAAAAUCCA